rnacentral:rRNA from 1 species
AUUGAACGCUGGCGGCAGGCCUAACACAUGCAAGUCGAACGAGUGGCGGACGGGUGAGUAAUGUCUGGGAAACUGCCUGAUGGAGGGGGAUAACUACUGGAAACGGUAGCUAAUACCGCAUACCAUCGGAUGUGCCCAGAUGGGAUUAGCUAGUAGGUGGGGAAAAGGCUCACCUAGGCGACGAUCCCUAGCUGGUCUGAGAGGAUGAACAGUCACACUGGAACGGAGACACGUUCCCGACGCCUCCGGGAGGCAGCAGUGGGGAAUAUUGCACAAUGGGCGCAAGCCUUAGGCAGCCAUGCCGCGUGUAUGAAUAAGGCCUUCGGGUUGUAAAGUACUUGCCGCGGGGAGGCGUUACCCGCAGAAGAAGCACCUGCUAACUCCGUGCCAGCAGCCGCGGUAAAAUUC